rnacentral:rRNA from 1 species
UACAGAGGUCUCAAGCGUUGUUCGGAUUCAUUGGGCGUAAAGGGUGCGUAGGCGGCGCGGUAAGUCGGGUGUGAAAUCUCGGAGCUUAACUCCGAAACUGCAUUCGAUACUGCCGUGCUUGAGGACUGGAGAGGAGACUGGAAUUUACGGUGUAGCGGUGAAAUGCGUAGAGAUGUGGAGGAACACCGAUGGCGAAGGCAGCCUCCUGGGCCAGCACUGACGCUCAUGCACGAAAGCGUGGGGAGCAAACAGG